UUCAGAGGCUGGACUGGAAGAUGAAACUGGGGCAAGAUGUUACACAGCAUGGCCUCAGGAACCUGAGCUCCAGCAACCUGCGGGUCCCAAUGGAGGCGAAGUCAAGGAGCGUCUCAGAGAGUGGUUGAUGUGUGAAGUCUCUGUCUGCCCAUCUGAAUAACAAGAGAUGGGGCUUGUGAUUUUCCUCCACGCACCCCUACCUGAGGGCCUCCAGGAGGAAUGACAUCUCAAACAGAAACCUGCAUAACAUCAGCCCAAACCAAGGACCCAUUUUAUCAUCAAAGAGGUGUGCCAUGAAUGCAUGACUGUGGGAUCCACUGCUUUGACCACAUAUGGAUGACUUGGAAGCUGCCAGCCUACAUGAACAAUGGAAAG
rnacentral:lncRNA from 1 species